rnacentral:sRNA from 3 species
UCAGCAGCGCGUCAGGUAUUCCAAAACUGUUUAAAAAUCGUACAGCACGCGGCUGGACGCCUGCGAAUUAUAGCCAAUACUUAUAUUCGCCAACGCAGCAUCUCCCCCAAGUGCCAGCGUUGGUAAGGACACCUAUGGAUAGCGCGUCCUUGUUUACUCCUAAUGGUCUUAACCCGGAUUCACCCCCCAGAACCCGG